GUACACGCUGUGACUAGCAUAUCAAUAAGCGGAGGAAAAGAAACUAACAAGGAUUCCCUUAGUAACGGCGAGUGAAGCGGGAAGAGCUCAAAUUUGAAAUCUUGAAAGGUCACCUUUCACGAAUUGUAGUUUAAAGAAGUGUUUUCUGUUACGAUCGUAAUAUAAGUUCUUUGGAAUAGGACAUCACAGAGGGUGAGAAUCCCGUCUAUGAUUGCGAUUUGUAGCUUUGUGAUACACUUUCAAAGAGUCGGGUUGUUUGGGAAUGCAGCCCAAAACGGGAGGUAAAUUUCUUCUAAGGCUAAAUAUUGGCGAUGAGACCGAUAGCGAACAAGUACCGUGAGGGAAAGAUGAAAAGAACUUUGAAAAGAGAGUUAAAUAGUACGUGAAAUUGUCAAAAGGGAAGCGUUUUAACACCAGUGUUGUUUUCUGAAAAUCAACCUCUGUUAGCUUUAUGCAUGUUUGUUUAGACCUAAUCAGCUAUCUUGCAUGUUCUAUUGUUUGCAGUGGUGCACUUUUCAGUUUACAGGUCAACAUCAGUUUUUUUUUACCGUAAAAAAGUUAAAGAAAGGUAGCUCAUGGCUCCGGUCGUGAGUGUUAUAGUCUUUUUCCUAUGCGGUAGGAGAGACUGAGGUCUGCAGUGUAGGCUAUUUGGCUAGAUACUCAGGUGCUAUGUGAUACCAUUUCAUAAACAACUUGUUGAUUAUGUUUUGUCUAUUGCAUACUCGCUUGUACUAUCAUACCUACGCUUAGGAUGUUGAACUACUGAGACAUAGA
rnacentral:rRNA from 1 species